AGAGUUUGAUCCUGGCUCAGAUUGAACGCUGGCGGCAGGCCUAACACAUGCAAGUCGAACGGUAACAGGAAGAAGCUUGCUUCUUUGCUGACGAGUGGCGGACGGGUGAGUAAUGUCUGGGAAACUGCCUGAUGGAGGGGGAUAACUACUGGAAACGGUAGCUAAUACCGCAUAACGUCGCAAGACCAAAGAGGGGGACCUUCGGGCCUCUUGCCAUCGGAUGUGCCCAGAUGGGAUUAGCUAGUAGGUGGGGUAACGGCUCACCUAGGCGACGAUCCCUAGCUGGUCUGAGAGGAUGACCAGCCACACUGGAACUGAGACACGGUCCAGACUCCUACGGGAGGCAGCAGUGGGGAAUAUUGCACAAUGGGCGCAAGCCUGAUGCAGCCAUGCCGCGUGUAUGAAGAAGACCUUCGGGUUGUAAAGUACUUUCAGCGGGGAGGAAGGGAGUAAAGUUAAUACCUUUACUCAUUGACGUUACCCGCAGAAGAAGCACCGGCUAACUCCGUGCCAGCAGCCGCGGUAAUACGGAGGGUGCAAGCGUUAAUCGGAAUUACUGGGCGUAAAGCGCACGCAGGCGGUUUAAGUCAGAUGUGAAAUCCCCGGGCUCCCUGGUGCAUCUGAUACUGCAAGCUUGAGUUCUCGUAGGGGGGGGUAGACCAGGUGGUAGGGGUGAAUGCGUAGGAGAUCGGAGGAAUUCCGGUGAGCGAAGGCGGCCCCCCUGGACGGAAGACUGACGUUCAGGUGAGCGGGGAGCAACCAGGAUUAAUCCCUGUAGUCCCCGGUAAACGAUUGCUUGGAGGUUGUGCCCUAGGCGUGGCUUCGGAAUUAACGCGUUAAGUGACCGCUGGGGAGUCGCCGCAAGGUUAAAACUCAAAUGAAUUGACGGGGGCCCGCCCAAGCGGUGGAGCAUGUGGUUUAAUUGGAUGCAACGCGAAGACCUUACCUGGUCUUGACAUCCACGGAAGUUUUCAGAGAUGAGAAUGUGCCUUCGGGAACCGUGAGACAGGUGCUGCAUGGCUGUCGUCAGCUCGUGUUGUGAAAUGUUGGGUUAAGUCCCGCAACGAGCGCAACCCUUAUCCUUUGUUGCCAGCGGUCCGGCCGGGAACUCAAAGGAGACUGCCAGUGAUAAACUGGAGGAAGGUGGGGAUGACGUCAAGUCAUCAUGGCCCUUACGACCAGGGCUACACACGUGCUACAAUGGCGCAUACAAAGAGAAGCGACCUCGCGAGAGCAAGCGGACCUCAUAAAGUGCGUCGUAGUCCGGAUUGGAGUCUGCAACUCGACUCCAUGAAGUCGGAAUCGCUAGUAAUCGUGGAUCAGAAUGCCACGGUGAAUACGUUCCCGGGCCUUGCACACACCGCCCGUC
rnacentral:rRNA from 1 species